GAAAUGCGAUACUUGGUGUGAAUUGCAGAAUCCCGUGAACCAUCGAAUCUUUGAACGCACAUUGCGCCCCUUGGUAUUCCGAGGGGCAUGCCUGUUCGAGCGUCAUUAUAACCCUCAAGCCUAGCUUGGUGUUGGGGCUUGCUGUUACCGGCAGCCCUUAAAACUAGUGGCGGUGCCACCUGGCUCUAAGCGUAGUAAUACUUCUCGCUAUAGAGUCCCGGUGGAUGCUUGCCAUCAACCCCUAAUUUUCUAUGGUUGACCUCGGAUCAGGUAGGGAUACCCGCUGAACUUAA
rnacentral:misc_RNA from 1 species